rnacentral:rRNA from 1 species
UUCAUCGCUCGCGAUGUUUAACUGACAUGAUUGUGGGACGUCCUACCGGUGGACUUAGCCUCUUUCUCUUCGGAGGGGUGGCGGUCCAGCUAAUAUCCCAUCGCGGUGCUUUUCAUCGAGUGUCGAGGUGGGCCGGUACGUUUACUUUGAACAAAUUAGAGUGCUCAAAGCAGGCCAUCCUCGCCUGAAUACUGUGUGCAUGGAAUAAUGGAAUAGGACCUCGGUUCUAUUUUGU